rnacentral:rRNA from 1 species
UGGGGAAUUUUGCGCAAUGGGGGAAACCCUGACGCAGCAACGCCGCGUGAGUGAUGAAGGCCUUCGGGUCGUAAAGCUCUGUCAGAGGGGAAGAAAUGCAGGGGUGCUAAUAUCAUCUUUGCUUGACGGUACCCUCAAAGGAAGCACCGGCUAACUCCGUGCCAGCAGCCGCGGUAAUACGGAGGGUGCGAGCGUUGUCCGGAAUUAUUGGGCGUAAAGCGCGUGUAGGCGGUUUGGUAAGUCUGAUGUGAAAGCCCCGGGCUCAACCUGGGAAGUGCAUUGGAAACUGUCAGACUUGAAUACGGGAGAGGGUAGUGGAAUUCCUAGUGUAGGAGUGAAAUCCGUAGAUAUUAGGAGGAACACCGGUGGCGAAGGCGGCUACCCGGACCGAUAUUGACGCUGAGACGCGAAAGCGUGGGUAGCAAACAG